rnacentral:lncRNA from 1 species
AAGGUCUACUUCUCAAACAUUCAUGGACAUGGACAAUGGUAACAUUGGAAGUNGACAAUGUUAACAUUGGAAGUCUAGAAAAGCUUUCUCUUCCCAAUGGAAAGGAAUCAGCCUUGGUCAACCCGGUUGACUGGAAGGUAAAGAGAAAGUCUAAGUUUAGAAUAGCCUUUUGUAUCGCAAAGAUGGAUUUCCAUCGCAAGCUUGAAGAUCAGAUUUUUGAGCUACAACUUAAGGGUUAUGAUAGAUUGCUAGAAAGCAUGUAAUAGCAUAUUUUUCAUUUCAAGUAGCAUUGUAAGGAAAAAGUUUUUCCGCAUUUUUAUAAAUAAAUAAAAAUUUGACUUUUAUUGAAAAAUUGAUCUUUAUA